AACAAAAAAGUUUUAAAGAAGCAAAUGGUGGAUGCCUUGGUCGCUAGAGCCGAAGAAGGACGCGGAAGACGGCGAAAUGCGUUGGGGAGUUGUCAACAAACUGUGAUCCAGCGAUGUCCGAAUAGGGAAACCUCGAUUGUAGUAAUGCAAUUGGAGCAUGUUGCUUAUGUAGCAUGCUGGGUAAGCCGAGGAACUGAAACAUCUUAGUACUCGGAAGAAAAUAAAUCGAAACCUGCAUAAGCAGGCUUUGGUAACUUAGGUUAUCAAAGGAGAUUCCGUGAGUAGCGGUGAGCGAAAACGGAUUAGUCCAAACUCCGACUUGUCGGAGGGUUGUAGGAUAUAGAAUAAAAAGGCAUGAAAUAUAGGAGAAUGUUGUGGAAUAGAUAGCCAAAGAGGGUGAAAGCCCCGUAUUCGAAAUUGAGUAAUGUCUGGACUGUAUUCCUGAGUACCACGGGACACGCGAAAUGCCGUGGGAAUCUGGGGGGACCAACCUCCAAGACUAAAUACUCUAGCGGACCGAUAGUGAACUAGUACCGUAAGGGAAAGGUGAAAAAUACCCAUAGUAUGGGAGUGAAAUAGAUCUGAAACCAUUUGCUAACAAGCAGCCAAAGCCCCGAUUUAUCGAGGUAAUGGCGUGCCUAUUGAAGAAUGAGCCUGCGAGUAUUUUUAAUUAUCGAGUUUAAGCUCGUCAAACGAGCGAAGGCAUAGCGAAAGCGAGUCUGAAUAAGGCGCUAGAUGAUUAGAGAUGACCCGAAACCGGUUGAGCUAACCAUGGGCAGGGUGAACCUUGUCGAAAGACAAGGGGAGGCCCGCACCAGUUAGAGCUGCAAAUCUAUUGGAUGACCUGUGGUUAGAGGUAAUAUGCUAAUCGAAACCGGAAAUAGCUGGUUCUCUCCGAAAUAUAUUUAGGUAUAGCGUCUAGUGUUGAAAAAUGGGGGUAGAGCUACUGGAUGAAUAUUUAGGGAGCAAUCUCUGGUAUUUAACCAAACUCCGAAUACCGUUUUUUUAUAGCUAGGCAGUCAGUCCAGCCGGGCUAAGCUGGUUGGGCGAAAGGGAAAGACCCCAGACUCUCAUCUAAGGUCUCUAAAUUUUUGUUAAGUGGGAAAGGAAGUGAUUUACCUAAGACAGUCAGGAAGUUGGCUUAGAAGCAGCCAUCUUUUAAAGAAAGCGUAAUAGCUCACUGAUCGACUCGUCUUGACGAGUUUGGUAGAUUGCGCCGAAAAUGUAAGGAGGCUAAAACAAAAUACCGAAGAUGGAGGUUUUGACUUUAUGUCAAAGCGGUAGGAGAGCGUUCUGAUGGCGGUGAAGGUUAAGGUGUAAACCAGGCUGGAGCUGUCAGAAGUGAGAAUGCAGGCAUGAGUAACGUAAUAGCGAUGAGAAUUCGCUACGCCGAAUACCUAAGGUUUCCUCAGCUACGUUGUUCGACUGAGGGUUAGGCGAUCCUAACAUGAGCUCACUGUAGUGGUGGGGUAGUGGAUGGAUAACCGGUUAAUAUUCCGGUCCUUUUUAUUAUUCGUUUUAAGUUGGGGCGUGACGGCAUAUGGAAAUUUCAGCAACUAUGUGAUUGGUUGUCUAAAUGUUAAGUUAGAAGAGGUUGGAAAAUCCGCCUUUUCGUUUUAAGGCGAGACAUGAAUGAAAGCUUGAUGAAAAUCGGGCGAUUGAAGCAAGUCUAUGUGUCCAGGAAAAGCGUCGCAAAUAGAAUAAUAAGAAUUCGUACUAAAACCGACACUGGUAGGUAGGUCGAGUAGACCAAGGCGAUUGGGAGAAAGAUGGUUAAGGAACUAGGCAAAAUAUCUGGGCGUAAGCUUUGCAAGAUGCCCUUCCUGGGAUAAGAUCCGGGAUACAACAAAAGAGUGCACGGCGACUGUUUAUCAAAAACACAGGUCUCUGCAAACCCGUAAGGGGAAGUAUAGGGGCUGAAGCCUGACCGGUGCCAGAAGGUUAAAUGAACGGGUGUUUCGACUUGUCGAAAUGCUUGCGAUUGAAGCCCUGGUGAACGUCAGCAGUAACUCUAACUGUUCAACACCUUUGGAGCAGUUGUAAAAUUUAGCUAUAUGCUGGAAAGACUAAGUAUGUCAUACUACCGAGGAGGUAAAAAUGUAUGAAUGUAGUCAAUCAGCAGGAAAGACGGAUAAGUAGAAGAAAAUAUCUGUUUUACUAUAUGGCUGGUUUUGUUGAAGGAGAUGGUUGUUUUUCUGUAUCAAUCAAAAAAUACAAACAAAUGAAGUUUGGUUGGGUGGUUGAUCCUAUGUUUUCUGUAUAUCAACAUAAGAGCAAUAAAAUUAUGUUGGAAUUAUUUCAAAAAGAGUUGCAUUGUGGCUAUAUUGUUAAGAAAAAAGGUAAAUCAGAUGUACUGGUUUAUGUAGUUGACAAUAGAAGAACACUAGAAGAAAAAAUACUUCCUUUUUUUAGGAAACACGUUCUUUUAGGUAAAAAAUGGAAUGACUUUUUGAUUUUUGAAAAGAUAGUAUUGAUGAUGAAAGAUAAAAAACAUCUACAACGACAAGGUUUAAAAGAAAUUGUAAAAUUGGCCUUUAAAAUGAAUCAGCAAGGGAAAGGUAGAAAAUAUAGUGAAAAGGAGAUAUUGGAGGAUUUAUCCGAAUCCCCAGAGACUAUACGCUAAACUCUUGAAAAAGAGAUGAGAUAGUCCGAACUGUAUGGCGACAUACAGAGUGUGAGUGAGACGCUGAAACUCACAAUUAACAAGAAGUCUAAGGUAGCGAAGUCCUUUGUCGGGUAAGUUCCGACGCGUAUGAAAGGUUUAACGACUGUGCAACUGUCUUGACCAUUUACCCAGUGAAAUUGAAAGAGCGGUGAAGAUGCCGUUUAAUUACUGUUGGACAAAAAGACCCCGUGAAGCUUUACUGGAUCUUUACAUUGAUAAGAAAAUAAUAAUUGUCGAGAAUAGGAGGGAGAGCUUGCUCGUCAGUGGAAUACCUCUCUUUAUUGUUUUUGAGUCUUACCUACUCCAAUGAAUCUUGGAGGGGGACGGUGUAUGGUUGCCAGUUUGCCUGGGGCAGGCACCUGCUAAAAGGUAACGCGGGUAUACAAAGGUUGGUUUGAUCCGGCUGGAAAUCGGAUUUAAAGUAUAAAAGCAAAAACCAGCUUGACUGUGAGACUUACAGGUCGAAUUCUGAUAAUUUUUUCGGAAUUUCAACACGUUUUUGAUAGUUGAAACAGGGUCGAAAGACGGUUUUAAUGAUCCUCGUGACUCAUUUGGUAUGAGCACGGGCUUACUGGAUAAAAGCUACUCCGGGGAUAACAGGCUAGUCGCAUCCGAUAGUCCAUAUUGACGAUGCGGUUCGGCACCUCGAUGUCGACUUGGCGCAUCCUCCUGGUGAAGAAGCCGGGAAGGGUUGGUCUGUUCGCCCAUUAAAGCGCUGCGUUAGUUGGGUUCAGAGCGUCGUGAGACAGCUCGGUCCCUAUCCACAGUAAUCGUUCGAUUCUUGAAGGGAUUCGUCUACAGUACGAGAGGACCUAGACGAGGGAAUCUCUGGUGUGCCAGUUGUUCUGUCAAGAGCACUGCUGGGUAGCCACAUUCCUAUUAGAUAACUGCUGAAAGCAUCUCAAGCAGGAAGCUGACCCUAAGAUAAGGAAUCGUUGUUUGAUUCGUCAAACUGAAGAUUGCCGGGAGACUACCGGUUAAUGCUUUACAGGUGUAAGUGUAGUAAUACAUUAAGCUUAGUAAAAGAAUAAAUCGA
rnacentral:rRNA from 1 species